rnacentral:rRNA from 1 species
GAUGAACGCUGGCGGCGUGCCUAAUACAUGCAAGUCGAGCGAACGGACGAGAAGCUUGCUUCUCUGAUGUUAGCGGCGGACAGGUGAGUAACACGUGGAUAACCUACCUAUAAGACUGGGAUAACUUCGGGAAACCGGAGCUAAUACCGGAUGAUAUUUUGAACCGCAUGGUUCAAAAGUGAAAGACGGUCUUGCUGUCACUUAUAGAUGGAUCCGCGCUGCAUUAGCUAGUUGGUAAGGUAACGGCUUACCAAGGCAACGAUGCAUAGCCGACCUGAGAGGGUGAUCGGCCACACUGGAACUGAGACACGGUCCAGACUCCUACGGGAGGCAGCAGUAGGGAAUCUUCCGCAAUGGGCGAAAGCCUGACGGAGCAACGCCGCGUGAGUGAUGAAGGUCUUCGGAUCGUAAAACUCUGUUAUUAGGGAAGAACAUAUGUGUAAGUAACUGUGCACAUCUUGACGGUACCUAAUCAGAAAGCCACGGCUAACUACGU